rnacentral:rRNA from 1 species
ACUUGGAGGUUGUGGCCUUGAGCCGUGGCUUUCGGAGCUAACGCGUUAAGUAGACCGCCUGGGGAGUACGGUCGCAAGAUUAAAACUCAAAUGAAUUGACGGGGGCCCGCACAAGCGGUGGAGCAUGUGGUUUAAUUCGAUGCAACGCGAAGAACCUUACCUACUCUUGACAUCCAGAGAACUUUCCAGAGAUGGAUUGGUGCCUUCGGGAACUCUGAGACAGGUGCUGCAUGGCUGUCGUCAGCUCGUGUUGUGAAAUGUUGGGUUAAGUCCCGCAACGAGCGCAACCCUUAUCCUUGUUUGCCAGCGAGUAAUGUCGGGAACUCCAGGGAGACUGCCGGUGAUAAACCGGAGGAAGGUGGGGACGACGUCAAGUCAUCAUGGCCCUUACGAGUAGGGCUACACACGUGCUACAAUGGCGCAUACAGAGGGCAGCCAACUUGCGAGAGUGAGCGAAUCCCAAAAAGUGCGUCGUAGUCCGGAUCGGAGUCUGCAACUCGACUCCGUGAAGUCGGAAUCGCUAGUAAUCGUGGAUCAGAAUGCCACGGUGAAUACGUUCCCGGGCCUUGUACACACCGCCCGUCACACCAUGGGAGUGGGCUGCAAAAGAAGUAGGUAGUUUAACCUUCGGGAGGACGCUUA